UACGAAGGGUGCAAGCGUUAAUCGGAAUUACUGGGUGUAAAGGGUGCGUAGGCGGUUGUUUAAGUCUGCCGUGAAAUCCCCGGGCUCAACCUGGGAAUGGCGAUGGAUACUGGGCAGCUAGAGUGUGUCAGAGGAUGGUGGAAUUCCCGGUGUAGCGGUGAAAUGCGUAGAGAUCGGGAGGAACAUCAGUGGCGAAGGCGGCCAUCUGGGACAACACUGACGCUGAAGCACGAAAGCGUGGGGAGCAAACAGG
rnacentral:rRNA from 1 species